rnacentral:rRNA from 1 species
GACGAACGCUGGCGGCGUGCUUAACACAUGCAAUUCGAACGGAAAGGCCCUGCUUUUGUGGGGUGCUCGAGUGGCGAACGGGUGAGUAACACGUGAGUAACCUGCCCUUGACUUUGGGAUAACUUCAGGAAACUGGGGCUAAUACCGGAUAGGAGCUCCUGCUGCAUGGUGGGGGUUGGAAAGUUUCGGCGGUUGGGGAUGGACUCGCGGCUUAUCAGCUUGUUGGUGGGGUAGUGGCUUACCAAGGCUUUGACGGGUAGCCGGCCUGAGAGGGUGACCGGCCACAUUGGGAAUGAGAUACGGCCCAGACUCCUACGGGAGGCAGGAGUGGGGAAUAUUGCACAAUGGGCGGAAGCCUGAUGCAGCAACGCCGCGUGCGGGAUGACGGCCUUCGGGUUGUAAACCGCUUUCGCCUGUGACGAAGCGUGAGUGACGGUAAUGGGUAAAGAAGCACCGGAUAAAUACGUG